rnacentral:tRNA from 2 species
GUAGGUGUAGUUUUAAUAAAAAUAUUAGAUUGUGAUUCUAAAGAUGGGGGUUAAAACCCCCUCACCCACC